rnacentral:lncRNA from 1 species
UUUUCUGAAGGUUAAUUGGCUUUUUCUCUUUUUGUUUUUUUCCUCCACAGAAUUACCAUCUAACACAAGGCCACUUUUCAAGAUGAAGGAGGGAUUGAACUGUCACACCAGUGUAAUCAAUUAAAUGACGGAGGAAGGAGGCAUUUGCUACCUGACCUUAAUCUCCUGGGCAAGAAUGACUGAAUGGGGAAGGCUGAAUACACUUUAAAUCACAAUGGAGAGGUCUACAAUAUUUCUGAAACUUCUUCAGGAGCAGAACUGAAUGAACUUUGGAGCUGCUUGGGCUCUGAUAGAAUUAGUCCUUCUUAGCAGCCGAAUCCAUUUGGCUGUUUCUAUUUGUGGAGUCAAUUGUGAGACAUCCAUUUAUCAUAGCUGUGGAAAACUAGCAGAAGGUCCAGAGGAAAGCCAUGGAAACAAUGAAGAACCAGGAAAAUGGAUUUCAGCCAUGUAUCCAGGAGAGAUUUCUGCUCUGGAUGGAUAUUCCCCUCCCUACACUGACCCCAUGUGUCGUGUCUCUGACGUGAGGUAAGCUCUAGAUUGCCAUGGCAUCUCUGCAUCCUGUCACUUCCUGCCAAGCCUCCUGUCCAAAUCUCCAGGGAGAGUCCAACUCCAGCCAAAGCAAGUCUUGAACUUCAAUCUCAGAACAUCUCAGAUACUUAUUAUAAGUUGUGGGUGAGUAGCAUCAAGUCAGAUUUUAUUUAUUUAUUAUUUUAACUAGUUGGGGGUUGUGUGUGAGUGUGUGUUACUUGCUCAGUCGUAUCUGACCCAUAGGCUGUAGCCCAACAAGCUCCUCUGUCCAUGGAAUUCUCCAGGCAAGAAUAUUGGAGUGGAUAGCCAUUCCCUUCUCCAAGAGAUCUUUAAGACCUAGGGAUCGAACCUGGGUCUCCUGCAUUGCAGGUGGAUUCUUUACCACUGAACCAUCAAGGAAGCCCAGUUUGGGGUGGGAUGAGGUACAAAUAGGGAGUUAACAUGAUUAUGGGCUACAGGUUAAAUGCAUUGAUGAUUUUAUAAUUUUACCAUCAAAUACAUAGACUUGUGGGGGGACUGAAAUGAAAACAGAGCUUCCUUUUAGGACUCAGCUGAUUGAUGGUGCCAGUGGAGAACUUAGUUUGGGGGCCUUCCUUUGUGGAACUGGUUGCUCUGAUAGUCUUGCCAUAUGUUCCAGAGGGCCACCCUCAGACCAUGAGUGACAGAAGUACACAUGUGCUUGAGGUACAAAGGAUGCAGUCUUGGUAACUGCAGGGACAAGUAGAGAUGCUGCUUGGGAGGAAGUCUCAUCUCAGCACUGACUGAUGAAGAGCCCCAACAUAUGACGUUGGGGUUCAUCCUACUUCCGGCUUGCACUCCAAGGCUGCCUGUGGCAGUUGGGCACAAUUUCUUUCAACUGUAGAAGAAUGAGAGAGACCAGAGAAUGGACAGAUUUUGUAAAUACAAUGAAACUGAGAAAGAGCUGGGCCUGGGGAUACAUUAUUCCCCAGCAUGAAUCCAGCUUGUUCAGGGUCCCCUGGUUCUGAGGUUUAUUUCAGGCUCUAUGUUUUCUUAUCUCUGUUCCACCUUCACCUUAUGCUCUCCUGAUUCAUCUUCUCAGUGACCUCAGAGAUUCUAGUGAAUGACAUUAAGGUUACCAUCCAAAAGCCCAUGGCUGCAAACUAUACCAGCUAGAAGGCCCUUUGAUCAAUAAUAUAUCUGGGAAAAGAUGUGUUUCCUCUUUUGUUCCUUUUAGUUUUCUUUCAUACAGAAAAGAAAUCGAAAGAUACCACAACUGGAUAAAUAACUUGGAAAUAAACUCAUCUGAUCUCAGAGUAGCCUUGGGUAG